UAGGGAAUCUUCCACAAUGGACGAAAGUCUGAUGGAGCAACGCCGCGUGAGUGAAGAAGGGUUUCGGCUCGUAAAACUCUGUUGUUAAAGAAGAACAUAUCUGAGAGUAACUGUUCAGGUAUUGACGGUAUUAACCAGAAAGCCACGGCUAACUACGUGCCAG
rnacentral:rRNA from 1 species